rnacentral:rRNA from 1 species
ACCACCUGCCAAUCAGACCAGAUAAUCCACCUACAGCUAAGCAGGUCAGGGCCUGGCCAGUACUUGGAUGGGAGACCAACUGGGAAAGCUGGGUUGCUGCUGCAA